rnacentral:rRNA from 1 species
CACGUAGGGCGCAAGCGUUGUCCGGAAUUAUUGGGCGUAAAGGGCUCGUAGGCGGUCUGUCGCGUCGGGAGUGAAAACUUACAGCUUAACUGUGAGCGUGCUUCCGAUACGGGCAGACUUGAGGUAUUCAGGGGAGAACGGAAUUCCUGGUGUAGCGGUGAAAUGCGCAGAUAUCAGGAGGAACACCGGUGGCGAAGGCGGUUCUCUGGGAAUAUCCUGACGCUGAGGAGCGAAAGUGUGGGGAGCGAACAGG